rnacentral:rRNA from 1 species
GACGAACCGUGCGAACGUUGUUCGGAAUCACUGGGCUUAAAGGGCGCGUAGGCGGUUUGCCAAGUCAGGGGUGAAAUCCUGCAGCUCAACUGUAGAAGUGCCUUUGAUACCGGCGAGCUCGAGGGAGGUAGGGGUGCGUGGAACUUCUGGUGGAGCGGUGAAAUGCGUUGAUAUCAGAAGGAACGCCGGUGGCGAAAGCGACGCACUGGACCUUUUCUAACGCUGAGGCGCGAAAGCCAGGGGAGCAAACGGG